GCCCCGGGCCCUGAGGGGAGCGGGCGGCAGCGGCAGGGCUGGCGGCGCGCGGGCGGAGAUCGCCCGCGUCCCGCCGCGCCGGGCUCCUUCGGUAACGGAUGGGGCGGCGAACUAGAGAGGUCUGGGCGCAUCAGGCAAGUUGCGUGCGGCGAGCGGCGUCUGCUCAAAAAGGCUACAGUGCUCGUUGUACAGCAUGGUGAUGAUGUGAAGCCUUAAGAGACGUUUCUGGCAUACUGGAGUAGGAAGAAUACAGCCUUAACAGCACAAACCAGCCUGAACUCAUGGUCAUCUUAAUGCAGACUUGAAGAAGUGUUUUCCUGAGCAAAUCCAAAAUCAUGAAUUGUUGCCUCCUGUCUGUCAAGAAAAUGAAGAUAUUUUUAAAAGA
rnacentral:lncRNA from 1 species